ACGCGUGGGUGUCGGUGGCGGCGCGUGGGUGGUCGUCAGCGGUGCGUGAGGCAGCUUCCGGCGACGCAGUUCGCAGGGGUUGUGCGCCUGACGGUGUAUGUCUCGGUGGUGUAGGAGGAGUCGAAGAAAGACCACCGUGAGAGACCACUGUUGACGGAACUUUGCGGGAACAGUGUUCCGAGAAGAGAGAGAGGGGGUACUUACCUGUAGCUACCGGCGGCUCGUCGGUGGUGCCGAUGGUGUUAACCUAAAGCUUCCACACAAUGGUCCGUGAAAAUACGCAGACCGCUGAAUGAACUUAGGGGUUGCCGGAGACGGGUCGCCGGAGGGGGAGGGGCUUCCACACAAUGGUCCGUGAAAAUACGCAGAUCGCUAAAUGAACUUAGGGGUUGGCGAAG
rnacentral:lncRNA from 1 species